GAUUUCUGACGAAACUGCUAGCUGGCCCGUCACGUCAGUGAUGUGUGCCGGCUUGGCGUUUGUCAUCCGUUCGAAUGAUAUGCGCGCUGCCCUUCACUGGGUUGGUGCUGCAUGUUUUCGAUCUUUUACUUUGAAAAAAUUAGAGUGUUUCAAGCAGGCGUUAUGCUAUGAAUACAUUAGCAUGGAAUAAUAAUUUAGGACUUCGGUUCUAUUUUGUUGGUUUCUAGGACUGAAGUAAUGAUUGAUAGGGACAGUUGGGGGUGCUAGUAUUCAGCGGCCAGAGGUGAAAUUCUCGGAUUCGCUGAAGACUAACUUAUGCGAAAGCAUU
rnacentral:rRNA from 1 species